UACGGGGUAGGGGCAGCUGUUGUCGAAUUACUGGGCGUAAAGGGCUCGUAGGUGGCCAACUAAGUCAGACGUGAAAUCCCUCGGCUUAACCGGGGAACUGCAUCUGAUACUGGAUGGCUGGAGAUUGGGAGAGGGAUGCGGAAUUCCAGGUGUAGCGGUGAAAUGCGUAGAUAUCUGGAGGAACACCGGUGGCGAAGGCGGCAUCCUGGACCGGCAUUGACGCUGAACAGCGAAAGCCAGGGGAGCAAACGGGG
rnacentral:rRNA from 1 species